CAUAUACGCAUAAACGUGCAUGCAACAAUUUAGAAGAGAAUGAUGGUUAAGAUGGAAAUUGGAAGCGAUUAGGUUUAGUGAAAUUAAGAACGGAAGGUCAAGUUCGAAGGAAGAAAUCUUUACUUCAAUUUUUUAGUUGGUCCUAUAUGCUUGGCAUAACAAGAACUUUGUCUAUUUAUAUACAAUGAAUUCCAGAAGUUAAACGCUGGCAGUAGGCAAAGUGUUAAUAUCACAGCGUAGGUAGAGUUUAACAUGUUGAAUUCGUAAAUCUUGACAAUAAUACAAAAGUAAGUAAUACGAUAUUAUAUUCUAUAGUUUUCAAUUGCCUCUAGACAAAAUUUUAUCUCUGUAAACACUUCUAAGUGAAUCAGUCUGGCAGCCAACGUGUUAAAAGUAAGUAAAAUAUGUUUUCGCAAAGUGCCAGGAGAAGUUUUUGCCAAACGUCAGGAUUCCCAGGCCAAUCGACAGCUUGCAAGGAUUCCAAGGAACUGAAAGAAGAGUAUAAAGCAUGAGGAUGUGGAUUAACCCUUCGAAAGGAACUCCUCGUGUCGAGAAUCUCAGUUUAUAUGGACCACAAAAGGCUAAAGUGAAUACAGAGGGGAAAGGUUGGAAGUUCGGGGCAAGUAAUACAAAUAAUAAAGAAAUUGCGCGAGAGAAGCGACUUCCAAGCAGAACUGCGACGAAACAGAGCAGAAACAGGCGAGUUAAUACACGUUGGAAAGACAGACACGACCAGAAGACAAACUUAGGCCUGGGCGAAGAAAGUAAGAUAGGCAGAAACAGUUGUGAAAGAAAGUCCAGUUAGAAAGUAAAAUCAAGAUGAGCGUGAAUCUCAACGUUCAAGAAAAGUAUUAUAGUAAUGUUAAAGAGCGCAGAGUAAACGAGUAAGAGAGUAACCAAGUACGUCAAACUGGAAAGCAAAAGAAUCAAAUGAAAAAUUAAAAGAAAAAAAAGAAAAAGAAAGAAAAGGUAACCCAAGUAGUAAGAGACAAACUGGUUAAUGGAAAAAACAAAGAACGGUCAAACAGUGCGGAGAUUGGACUUGCGGACUAACCAUAUAGUAAUCCUGAGAGGGGGAUCUGCCUGUCACAGAUACAUUCUGCACCAGAGUUCUAUUGCUCGUCUGAAAAGUAAACUCGCAGGGGCGCGAAUCAAGUGGAUCGUGUUCAGUCUUUUUCAUGGUUCACACAUAUAGUUACACAAGCACCCGUACCCUUUAUAACCAUCGAAGAAAUUUUUCUCAAUUAUUAGACUGAAAU